rnacentral:snRNA from 1 species
UUGUUUCAGAAGCACAUAUGCCAAAAUUGAAACAACACAAGAAGAUAAGCAUGGCCCCUGCACAAGGAUGGCAUGCAACUUCGUGAAAUGUUCCAUAUUUUU